GUCUACGGCCAUGCCACCCUGAACAAGCCUGAUCCCUUCUGAUCUCGGAAGCUAAGCAGGGUCGGGCCUGGUUAGUACUUGGAUGGGAGACCAUCUAGGAAGACCAGCUGCUGUAGGCA
rnacentral:rRNA from 1 species